rnacentral:lncRNA from 1 species
AUGACAACCACAGAGAAAUAGUCCACUAAAGCUCAAUUCUCAGGUAAUAGAGAGCAUCUGUCUCAACAGUUUGACUUCUGAUUUGCUGUGUGCCUUAUUCAUUAUUAUUGUUUGCUAUUCCAGCUCCUCCCACGUCCCCAAACCUCCCUUAAUAAUUCUCAAGAAGAAAGAAAAGGGAGAUUUUCACAAAUCCCAUCAUUAGUGCCAGCCCAAAGGAUGAGACAAUAACCAGGUAGCCAAUGCCACCAUCUCUCACCACUCAGACACAUAACAAGCAGGAUAACACAUAACUUACCAAUAUAACUAAUAAUGACAUCCAUUAGUCUCUCUACAGCCAGUCAAACCUCCUGCUGAUGGAACUCACAGGCACUUGGAAACUGGUCUGCAGCACAAAAUCCCUCUCAGGCAAGCUGUCAGCAAGGAGGAAGCAUCCUGUGUGCAGGGGCCCAGCCUGGCAGAUGAGCAGCAUGGCUCACCGCAAACCUGAGGCAGCAGGAGAAGCUGCUGUGAGAGGACACAGCAGAGGAGAGCCCUGAGAGCUGAGUAAGAAAAUAACAGAUACAGCUGCCACUCUAAUCAUUGCAUCAAGUUUCCAGUGAUGGCCUCAUUUGGCCACACCAGUGACCCGACGUGGGAUGCCAGAGGAACUCACAGCAGUCAGUGAAGAUGGUAGGAAUUACAGCUGAAGGAAAACUAGCGUAGCAAAGCUCAAUAUAAGCUUAAUCCUGCAUACCACACUGUGCUGCUGCUGCAUUUUGACUUCACUUGUUAAGCAAGACAUGCACUGCAGCAACUGGGCUUUUCUGCUGAGAGGAAUGCAAACUCUGGAUCAGAGGGAUGACAAGAGACACCACUGCCUGCAGUGCCUGUGGCCCACAGCUGAGCAAGAAUCAAUCAUGUUGGCUUUUAUUCAGAUCCUGGGGCUCUUGAGCCUUUUGCAUUAAAACUCUGCUGCAUAAGCAGCUGAGAGAGGGACCUGACUCUGAAUCUGUUUGCAGCAAACAGCAGAGUCCAGCACACUUUUAUAUCUUGUCUCUCAUGCCCUAAAUCUUUCAGCAUCAUCUUACUGUCAGAAAAAGAGGAUGCGAUGCUCUUCAGUUUGAA